UUCGCAAUGCCCGAAAGGGUGACGAAGCGACGCCGCGUGCGGGAAGAAGGCCUUCGGGUUGUAAACCGCUGUCGGGAGUUAAGAAAUGCAAGGAUGUUAAUAGCAUUCUUGCUUGACUAAGGCUCCGGAGGAAGCCACGGCUAACUCUGUGCCAGCAGCCGCGGUAAUACAGAGGCGGCAAGCGUUGUUCGGAAUUAUUGGGCGUAAAGAGCACGUAGGCGGCUAUGUAAGUCGGUUGUGAAAGCCUUCCGCUCAACGGAAGAACAGCAUCCGAUACUGCAUGGCUUGAGUGCGGGAGGGGAGAGUGGAACUUCUGGUGGAGCGGUGAAAUGCGUAGAUAUCAGAAGGAACGCCGGCGGCGAAAGCGACUCUCUGGCCCGUAACUGACGCUGAGUGUGCGAAAGCUAGGGGAGCAAACGGGAUUAGAUACCCCGGUAGUCCUAGCCGUAAACGAUGGGCACUAAGUAGAGGGGUUUU
rnacentral:rRNA from 1 species